rnacentral:rRNA from 1 species
GAUGAACGCUGACAGCAUGCUUAACACAUGCAAGUCAACUUGAACUUCGGUUUGGGUGGCGGACGGGUGAGUAACGCGUAAAGAACUUGCCUCACAGCUAGGGACAACAUUCGGAAACGAAUGCUAAUACCUGUUAUUCUGAUUUUAGGGCAUCCUAGAAUUAUGAAAGUUAUAUGCGCUGGGUGAGAGCUUUGCGUGCCAUUAGCUCGUUGGAGCGGUAACGGCUCACCAAGGCGAUGAUGGGUAGCCGGCCGGAGAGGGUGAACGGCCACAAGGGGACUGAGACACGGCCCUAACCCCCACGGAAGGCAGCGGUGGGGAAUAUUGGACAAUGGACGAAGAGUCUGAUCCAGCAAUUCUGUGUGGACGAUGAGGUUUUUCGGAAUGUAAAGUUCUUGCAGGUGAGAAGAAGAAAAUGACGGUACCAACAGAAGAAGUAACGGCUAAAUACGUG